AUUGGACGCUGGCGGCAUGUUUUACACAUGCAAGUCGAACGGUAACAGCACUUCGGUGGCUGACGAGUGGCGAACGGGUGAGUAAUACAUCGGAACGUGCCUAGUAGUGGGGGAUAACUACUCGAAAGAGUAGCUAAUACCGCAUGAGAUCUAAGGAUGAAAGCAGGGGACCUUCGGGCCUUGCGCUACUAGAGCGGCUGAUGGCAGAUUAGGUAGUUGGUGGGAUAAAAGCUUACCAAGCCGACGAUCUGUAGCUGGUCUGAGAGGACGACCAGCCACACUGGGACUGAGACACGGCCCAGACUCCUACGGGAGGCAGCAGUGGGGAAUUUUGGACAAUGGGCGCAAGCCUGAUCCAGCAAUGCCGCGUGCAGGAUGAAGGCCUUCGGGUUGUAAACUGCUUUUGUACGGAACGAAAAGCCCUCUUCUAAUACAGGAGGGUCAUGACGGUACCGUAAGAAUAAGCACCGGCUAACUACGUG
rnacentral:rRNA from 1 species